rnacentral:rRNA from 1 species
CCUACGGGUGGCAGCAGUGGGGGAUAUUGCACAAUGGGGGAAACCCUGAUGCAGCAACGCCGCGUGUGUGAAGAAGGUUUUCGGAUUGUAAAGCACUGUCCUUGGUGACGAUAAUGACGGUAACGACGGAAAAAGCUCCGGCUAACUACGUGCCAGCAGCCGCGGUAAUACGUAGGGAGCAAGCGUUGUCCGGAUUUACUGGGUGUAAAGGGUGCGUAGGCGGUCAUGUAAGUCAGACGUGAAAUGCACAGGCUCAACCUGUGGACUGCGAUUGUAACUAUGGAGCUUGAGUGAUGUAGAGGAUAGCGGAAUACCCGGUGUAGCGGUGAAAUGCGUAGAUAUCGGGUAGAACACCGGUGGCGAAGGCGGCCAUCUGGGCAUUUACUGACGCUGAGGCUCGAAAGCAUGGGUAGCAAACAGGAUUAGAUACCCGAGUAGUC